rnacentral:rRNA from 1 species
UACGGGGGGGGCUAGCGUUGCUCGGAAUCACUGGGCGUAAAGCGCACGUAGGCGGCUUUUUAAGUCAGGGGUGAAAUCCUGGAGCUCAACUCCAGAACUGCCUUUGAUACUGAGAAGCUUGAGUCCGGGAGAGGUGAGUGGAACUGCGAGUGUAGAGGUGAAAUUCGUAGAUAUUCGCAAGAACACCAGUGGCGAAGGCGGCUCACUGGCCCGGUACUGACGCUGAGGCACGAAAGCGUGGGGAGCAAACAGG